ensembl:snRNA U6 U6 spliceosomal RNA
GUGCCUGCCUCGGCAUCACAUAUACUGCAGCUGUGACGACGCAGACGUCAGCAUGGCUCCUGUGUGAGGAUGACAUGUAAAUUCGUGAAGCAUUCCAUAGUUUG